rnacentral:rRNA from 1 species
UGGUUGUCGUCAGCUCGUGUCGUGAGAUGUUGGGUUAAGUCCCGCAACGAGCGCAACCCCUACGUUUAGUUGCUAACGCGUGAAGGCGAGCACUCUAGACGAACUGCCGUUGACAAAACGGAGGAAGGUGGGGAUGACGUCAAAUCAUCAUGCCCCUUAUGUUCUGGGCUACACACGUGCUACAAUGGCCGGUACAGACGGACGCAAAGCCGCGAGGUGGAGCAAAUCCUAAAAAGCCGGUCUCAGUUCGGAUUGCAGGCUGCAAUUCGCCUGCAUGAAGUCGGAAUCGCUAGUAAUCGCAGGUCAGCAUACUGCGGUGAAUACGUUCCCGGGCCUU